UAGUCUUUUAUUAAAAAACAGGAAAUAGCAACAAACUUCACAAUACUUUACAUACAUUGGCUCUAAUUUGCUACAACAUCCUGCAACGUACAACCAUGCAAUUAGUUUUCUUUUUCAAAACAUAAAAAAGGGUAAAAUAAUAUGAGACUGAUAGUUCAAUCCAUUUGUUUAAAAAUUAGUUAUACUUCAGAACCUAAGAUAAUAUUUGUUAUAGCACCCUGCAUAUUAAUUCUGACCAACUUUGUAAAUAAACCAAGAAAUUCUCAAUUCAAAACUUCAAAAAACUGUGCAAAACAAUCAACAAAAACAAACAUCAACCUUGAAAUCAUACCCUGCAUCGAUCUUUUAACCUUCGAUUCACCCCUUGAAGCCGAUGGCCAGUCAACCACGAAAUUGUACACAUCUGGAUUAGGAUGUACAGAGUUGCAUUUAACUGUGUACAAAAAAGCUUUGCAAAAGAUUGGAAGUGAUAAAUUGAUAUAAUGAGAACCUGCAAAAAAAAUAUCAAAGACAUAGACAAUAUGCAAAAGAUCAAACACCUGGUGUGCAUGGUCGACAUGAUCGGGAAUGCUUGCUUUAGGAACUGAAAUUAUAACAUGAUGAAGUAGAAUGAAGCAAAUUAAUGAAGCAAAAUUACAGGUUCAUCGGAGAUGAUACAAAGUUCACCAUGAGAGACACCUUUCUUUGUGAAUUCGAGAUCUGCAUAACCGGCGGCGACACCUCCACCAAUUAUCACAUAACGAAAUGCUAUUCCCAUUUCUUUGUCGACUGUGUGUGACCAGAAUGCGUUGGUGUCAGGAGGAGAUGUGGCGAUGAUGUUUAAAAUUGAAUACAGAAAAAACGAUUCGAUUCAAUUGUUUACUGAGGGUCCGCAGCUUCAUUGCUCUCUAGUCUUUAAUAGAAGGGAAGGAAAGUAUUGAAUUCUUAUGCUUUUUCUGGCGCCAAGUUACACCCUAUGAAUGUAGAAACCUGCAAGGAAAAGAGCUUAAAUGAGAACGUCAGCUGAAAUCAGAAGUCGGCUUGUCGGAUAUCGAUUGACCUAAUAUUCCGUCGUAGAAUGAGAGGGAAACAAUCGGUAGCGCAAUCGGAGGAGAGGCGAUUGGAAUCUGUGAAGCAGUGGAAGAGGUAAAAUGGACGACUAAAGGAGCACCGAUGGCAAAAGAAAGAAAGACAUAGGAAGCGGUGGGUUAUUCAUCUUCGAGUCCCCAGAGAAAAAAAAUUAUUGAAGAGAGAAGGUGGAGGAAGAAGCAAGCGGUGGAGACAUCGAUCAGAAGAUGGAAGGAUCGGGAACUAAAAGUGUUUACUCUAAGGCGGUGGAGGAAUUAAGGAACGAUGAAGCGGUGGAAAACAAUCCAAUUCCUAUCGGCUUAGAUGGCCGUUCUUAAUCCUAUC
rnacentral:lncRNA from 1 species